GUUUGUCCAAAUCCAACGAAACCAACGCCCACGUCUUCGUUAUGAUCUCCUCUAACCAGUAAAACAACUUAAACAUGUUUUUGAAAGUUUUAAAAUUUGAAUUCAAACAGAUUUGUAUUCAAACUUCUUUUGUUCAUAACUUGAGUUCCGUAGCUCCGUUUGAGUUGAUUCUUUUUGCAAAUCGAAGCUCUUGACCUAAAAUUUCUGAUAAGGCCAAAUUCACAUAAUUUUGGUACUGUUAGAAAUUGUUUUAUGUUGCAAGAGUUAUUUGCUUGGUUUGAUGUUUCCCGAAUCGUCUUCUUCGUUCUUUCUGAUCUUUUGAGUGAUUGCUUAUGUGUGGUUACCAUUGCUUGCUUGCGAUAGAUUGACCAGAGUGUGACGAGUAGAUCUAUCAGGAGUUUUGAGUGCGAAUCAUCUUCAUCAACAUUGCAGGCAAGUAACACUUUGAUCAUACCCCGUUCAUACCCAGUUUUAUUGCAUUAGAUCUAUUCCUUCAAACACAUUGCAUGAUUAGGAUCUAAUAAACUGUGGGUAUUGGGAAGUAGUUGAGGUAGUAUCUAUUACCUGUUUUUCUAUCAAACCCUUGGGAGUUACUUCUACGUUGCUUUUAUUAUUGCCAUGCUAUGCUCGUAGACGUGGAUUGGGUUUGAGUGAAAUUCAUGACAGAUGUGAGAUUGUUAAUUAAUGGUUUACUUAAGGUGGCAACUUAAACUCACAUCUGGGUGGAUUGAGGUACCUGGGUAUUCCAGGAUUGCCUAUUUUUCUUUUGGACCGCCACCCAGGUUCAAAGGGAUCAUGAGAUUUUUCAUGCUAGAAACUUCCGUGUGCAGCCGCAAGCUAUUAUGGGCUCUAGCAUAGUUGAUUAAGUUGUGUGAACUUUUACAGUGGUAGACUAGCAGAUGUAGGGGAAAGUAGGUGUAACGGUCUACCCAUACGUAAGGUGCAAACAUUUCUGAAAGACUGUGCCUUGGUCAUCCGUUACUCAAACACCAUGUAGUGCGAGUAAUCCAACGGAGGAGAUCAAGUCUUGUGGGAAAAGUGCACAAACCUCUGCAGAGUGUACAGACUGAUCAUGAUUAGCCGUGUCCCCGGUUAUGGACAUCUUGAGUAUCUAGUUCUUGGAUUAUCCCGUUGAUCUCAUCAUGUUACUCUAAUUAAUAUUGUUGGGUUAAUGAUGAUACUUAAUUGGGAUUGAGAUGCUGUCAACCAUCUCAAUGUUUCACAACCACCAUGAUAGUUAAAUAAAAUUUAUUCCUUUGCAAUAGGGAAAAACUGGCUUUUCGCAAAAACAUUAUAACCAUAGAGCUUUUCCACCAGCCAUAUAUGCAUGUAGUGAUAGCCUUUGUUCAUCAUUUCUCUAUGGUGUGAAUUUGCCAGUACAUUCAAUGUACUGACCCGUUUUCGGGCUGCAACGUUUCAUGUUGCAGGAUUCUUACGUCGAGUAAGUGAUUCGUUA
rnacentral:lncRNA from 1 species